UCGAGCGGUAGAGAGAACUUGCUUCUCUUGAGAGCGGCGGACGGGUGAGUAAUGCCUAGGAAUCUGCCUGGUAGUGGGGGAUAACGUUCGGAAACGGACGCUAAUACCGCAUACGUCCUACGGGAGAAAGCAGGGGACCUUCGGGCCUUGCGCUAUCAGAUGAGCCUAGGUCGGAUUAGCUAGUUGGUGAGGUAAUGGCUCACCAAGGCGACGAUCCGUAACUGGUCUGAGAGGAUGAUCAGUCACACUGGAACUGAGACACGGUCCAGACUCCUACGGGAGGCAGCAGUGGGGAAUAUUGGACAAUGGGCGAAAGCCUGAUCCAGCCAUGCCGCGUGUGUGAAGAAGGUCUUCGGAUUGUAAAGCACUUUAAGUUGGGAGGAAGGGUUGUAGAUUAAUACUCUGCAAUUUUGACGUUACCGACAGAAUAAGCACCGGCUAACUCUGUGCCAGCAGCCGCGGUAAUACAGAGGGUGCAAGCGUUAAUCGGAAUUACUGGGCGUAAAGCGCGCGUAGGUGGUUUGUUAAGUUGGAUGUGAAAUCCCCGGGCUCAACCUGGGAACUGCAUUCAAAACUGACUGACUAGAGUAUGGUAGAGGGUGGUGGAAUUUCCUGUGUAGCGGUGAAAUGCGUAGAUAUAGGAAGGAACACCAGUGGCGAAGGCGACCACCUGGACUAAUACUGACACUGAGGCGCGAAAGCGUGGGGAGCAAACAGGAUUAGAUACCCUGGUAGUCCACGCCGUANACGAUGUCAACUAGCCGUUGGNAGCCUUGAGCUUUUAGUGGCGCAGCUAACGCAUUAAGUUGACCGCCU
rnacentral:rRNA from 1 species